UUGAAUUAGCGAGGGCUGUCUGCUGGCCCCUUCGGGGGCAUGUGCACGUCCGAGCCGUUUAAAUCAACACCUGUGAACUCACCGUAGGCCUUCGGGCUUAUGUAUCAUAUAUAUAUACUCAGAUCAUAGAAUGUACAUUUUGCCUUUAAAAAAGCAAUCAAAUA
rnacentral:misc_RNA from 1 species